rnacentral:miRNA from 1 species
ACUACCCCAGAGAGUUUCAAUC